UGAUUGGUGUUCUUAUAAAUCCCUGCCUGG
rnacentral:piRNA from 1 species